rnacentral:lncRNA from 1 species
UUUGGGCAGUUAUUUUUGGGCGCGGCUGUGCCCGCGGCCUUUUUUUGGCACACGGAGGUGCCUCGCAAAGUUUCGCGCCAUUCCGAGUCCGGCGGACGAAGUCGGCCAGCCCCACCCCCCAAGGCUAUAGGCCAACCGUUUUUGUGGGCUUUUUCCGCUGGACGAUCAUGGCGGCCCAGCCUUUGGGCGGUUAAAUUUUGGCGCGGCUGUGCCCGCGGCCUAUUUUUGGCACACGGAGGUGCCUCGCAAAGUCUCGCGCCAUUCCGAGUCCUGCGGACGAAGCUGGCCAGCCCCACCCCCCAAGGCUAUAGUCCACCCGUUUUUGUGGGCUUUUUCCGCUGGACGAACAUGGCGCCCCGGCCUUCGGGCGGUUAUAUUUGGGCGUGGCUGUGCCCGUGGCCUAUUAUUCGCACACGGAGGCGCCUCGCAAAGUCUCGCGCCAUUCCGAGUCCGGCGGACGAAGCUGGCCAGCCCCACCCCCCAAGGCUAUAGCCCACCCGUUUUUGUAGCCUUUUUCAGCUGGACGAACUUGGCGCCCCGGCCUUCGGGCGGUUAUUUUUGGGCGUGGCUUUGUCCGCUGCCGAUUUUUUGCACACGGAGGCCCCUCGCAAAGUCUCGCGGCAUUCCGAGUCCGGCGGACGAAGUUGGCCAGCCCCACCCCCCAAGGCUAUAGCCCACCCGUUUUUGUAGACUUUUUCCGCUGGACGAACUUGGCGCCCCGGCCUUCGGGCGGUUAUUUUUGGGCGCAGCUUUGCCCGCGGCCUAUUUUUGGCACACGGAGACCCCGCAUAAAGUCUCGCGCCAUUCCGAGUCCGGCGGAAGAAGUGGGCCCGCCCCACCCCCCAAAGCUAUAGCCCACCCGUUUUUGUGGGCUUUUUCCGCUGGACGAACUUGGCGCCCCGGCCUUCGGGCGGUUAUUUUUAGGCGCGGCUGUGCCCGCGGCCUAUUUUUGGCACAUGAAGGCGCCUCGCAAAGUCUCGCGCCAUUCUGAGUCCGGCGGACGAAGUCGGCCAGCCCCACCCCCCAAGGCUAUAGCCCACCCGUUUUUGUGGGCUUUUUCCGCUGGACUAACUUGGCGCCCCGGCCUUCGGGCGGUUAUUUUUAGGCGCGGCUGUGCCCGCGGCCUAUUUUUUGCACACGAAGGGGCCUCGCAAAGUCUCGCGCCAUUCCGAGUCCGGCGGACGAAGUUGGCCAGCACCACCCCCCAAGGCUAUAGCCCACCCGUUUUUGUAGGCUUUUUCCGCUGGACGAACUUGGCGCCCUGGCCUUCGGGCAGUUAUUUUUGGGCGCGGCUGUGCCCGUGGCCUAUUUUUGGCACACGGAGGUGCCUCGCAAAGUCUCGCGCCAUUCCGAGUCCGGCGGACGAAGUCGGCCAGCCCCACCCCCCAAGGCUAUAGCCCACCCGUUUUUAUUGGCUUUUUCCGCUGGACGAACUUGGCGCCCCGGCCUUCGGGCGGUUAUUUUAGGGCGCGGCUUUGUCCGCGGCCUAUAUUUGGCACACGGAGGCCCCUCGCAAAGUCUCGCGGCAUUCCGAGUACGGCGGACGAAGUUGGCCAGCCCCACCCCCCAAGGCUGUAGCCCACCCGUUUUUGUGGCCUUUUUUCCCUGGACGAACUUGGCGCCCCGGCCUUCGGGCGGUUAUUUUUGGGCGCAGCUUUGCCCGCGGCCUAUUUUUGGCACACG